GAGUUUGAUCGUGGCUCAGGAUAAACGCUGGCGGCGCACAUAAGACAUGCAAGUCGAACGGACUUAAUCGAAAUAUUUAUAUUUUGAAGCGGUUAGUGGCGGACUGGUGAGUAACGCGUAAGGAACCUGCCUGUUAGAGGGGAAUAACAGUGAGAAAUCACUGCUAAUACCGCAUAUGCCAUAGUUACCACAUGGGUAAAUAGGUGGGAAAAGGAGCAAUCCGCUGACAGAUGGCCUUGCGUCUGAUUAGAUAGUUGGUGGGUAAC
rnacentral:rRNA from 1 species